GCACAAUGCAGGCACUCCCUGCAGGGACAGCAGGCAGGAGUGUGAUGAAAGGAAGGUGCAGUGAGCCCUUCUCAGUGCAGCGAGCCUUUCUCAGUGCAGCCGUCACACAUCCGACUGCUGAACGUCCCAUCAGCUAUGGUCAGAAAACCACACCAAGUCAUGAAGUACAAGAUGACCUCACAUUUACCUUAUGUCUUCUUUUUGUCAAGCCAAAGAAUACACACUGCUGCAGCACAUGCUGGCAGUACCGUCUAUUUCUCUCCAUUUCCUCACAUCUCAUGCUACAAAACUGACAGCAGAAGAGCGAGCAACAAGAGAACGUUACAGUUGCUAAGUGGGAAGGAAGAAAUCUCACUUCUAACAAUGCCU
rnacentral:lncRNA from 1 species